GUAAUAUACUUUAAGAAAAAGGUUUGAUUUGCAUUCAUUUAUUAAGGGGAACCCUUUAUUGCCUA
rnacentral:tRNA from 1 species